rnacentral:misc_RNA from 1 species
GAAAUGCGAUAAGUAGUGUGAAUUGCAGAAUUCAGUGAAUCAUCGAAUCUUUGAACGCACAUUGCGCCCUCUGGUAUUCCGGAGGGCAUGCCUGUUCGAGCGUCAUUAAAACCACUCAAGCAGUUUUGCUUGGUAUUGGGGGAAGAGGCGUCAAACACCUCUCCCUUGAAAUGCAAUGGCGGUGUUGGUCAUCUCAUCCUGCGUAGUAUGUAUACGGUCGCAUCGAGGAGUGCCCAGCCCAGCCGGCUAAUCCCCACAUCACCAAGGUUGACCUCGGAUCAGGUAGGGAUACCCGCUGAACUUAA